GGGGAAUAUUGGGCAAUGGGCGAAAGCCUGACCCAGCGACGCCGCGUGGGUGAUGAAGGCCUUCGGGUUGUAAAGCCCUGUCAUGCGGAAAGAACGACCCUGAGACGCAUACUCUCAGGGAGUGACGGUACCGCAGGAGGAAGCACCGGCUAACUCCGUGCCAGCAGCCGCGGUAAUACGGAGGGUGCAAGCGUUGUUCGGAAUUAUUGGGCGUAAAGGGCGCGUAGGCGGUAAUGUAAGUCAGAUGUGAAAUACUCCGGCUCAACCAGAGAACAGCAUCUGAGACUUCAUAACUCGAGUACAGAAGAGGGAAACGGAAUUCCCGGUGUAGAGGUGAAAUUCGUAGAUAUCGAGAGUAACACCAGUGUCGAAGGCGGUUUCCUGGUCUGAUACUUACGCUGAGGCGCGAAA
rnacentral:rRNA from 1 species